rnacentral:lncRNA from 1 species
GGAGGCCUAAUUUUUUGAGUUCGCCUUGGGCCCCUAAAAUCACAGGACCGGCCUUGCUAGAAUGUCUAUGCAGUAAUGGUCUAGAGUCGUGAGUUUCUUGUGCAGGCAACAAUAAUAAUUGAUACAAAGCUGUCCUACACAAAUCUGACGGCUCCUCCCAUUUUCCUUUCUCUAUUACAUUCAUGAAAUAGCUUUGCUUCAUUAAUUCCUUGAGCACUAUGAGUGGAAUUUGGUUUCCAACGAAGAACAUGGCCUCAAUCCAUCUUUAAUUUCCUUGUACCUGUUAUUUUUCUUUUGACCAAAUAUGAUAUGGCUAGGAGUAUAGCCAAGUUGCUGGGCACCUCCAAGAACAUACGACACAAGUUGUAGGAAUAAACAACCAUCUUUAAUCAUCAUCCAUCUAAACUCUGGUCCAGACAAAUGAUCCACUGCGCCGUCGUCAUAGGUAGCUCUUGCCUCUUUGUCUAUCUUUUUCAUUGCAGACAAGUGAAUUUCAAUGGUCACCGCUGCCCUGUCUGUGGAGUUUUUCAGUAAAUGCUACCAAGCCUCCCCCUAAAAUACAACUCCGAGGACUUACCGUUGCGGUAAAAUGGACCAAAUCUCGGGUAAGAUUCUUUUAGUUUUGGGCUCUCUUCAUCACUGGUUCCUCUUAACUUACAUAUCCUGCGGCGUGGCCAUUUUGUGUUGUUCAGAGGGGUUGUAUUAGUCUCUCUAGAUUCGUUCUCCAUACCAGAUCCAUGAAUUUUAGCCCCAAACUUCAACCCCAUCUGAUGAGUGUAAUCUUCCCAUUUCAUAACAGGUGACAGUUCUAUCUUCUCUCUAUGCCACUGUAGAGCCUUUCCAUCUAUAUGAAUUGAUGCCAAUUCAACUUUUACGUCAUCCGUUGUUUUAUACAAAUCAAAUAAUUCAUUGCAUUUGUAAACCCACUCAUCAAAACCGUCACCAGAAAACUUGGGAAAUUCAACUGUGGGCAAUCCUGCAGUGCAACAAGGAGAUGGAUUAUUUCUUUCAAUUGAUUCUCCAAUCUUUGUACUAAUAAGAGAACUAACAUGAUUGCUAAAGUCUUCUAGCGACUUGUUUUGACCAUAAAGGAACUCUUC